rnacentral:lncRNA from 1 species
GUCAGUUGACCUUGGAGUAUCCCCACCUGAUCUUCAGCUAUGUCUGUACGGGUCAUCUCGUUGUAGAGACUCUUUCCUAUGUCCACCAUGUUCUGCUCCAGAGCUUGAAACUGAACAUCCUCCAUGUGGGGAUCCUCGCCUAGGAUCUCCGGUCCCACGGCAUUCCCGCCAACAACUCGCCUUCCGAAGCUACGGAAGACAGAGUCCGGAGGCGGUUCAUCAUGGUACGCCUCGCACACACGGG